UACGGGGGGGGCAAGCGUUGUUCGGAAUUACUGGGCGUAAAGGGCUCGUAGGUGGCCAACUAAGUCGGACGUGAAAUCCCUCGGCUUAACCGGGGAACUGCGUCUGAUACUGGAUGGCUUGAGUUCGGGAGAGGGAUGCGGAAUUCCAGGUGUAGCGGUGAAAUGCGUAGAUAUCUGGAGGAACACCGGUGGCGAAGGCGGCAUCCUGGACCGACACUGACGCUGAGGAGCGAAAGCCAGGGGAGCAAAGCGGGAU
rnacentral:rRNA from 1 species